rnacentral:rRNA from 1 species
UGGGGAAUAUUGGACAAUGGGGGGAACCCUGAUCCAGCCAUGCCGCGUGUGUGAAGAAGGCCUUAUGGUUGUAAAGCACUUUAAGCGAGGAGGAGGGUACUGGUAUUAAUACUACCAGGUACUGGACGUUACUCGCAGAAUAAGCACCGGCUAACUCUGUGCCAGCAGCCGCGGUAAUACAGAGGGUGCGAGCGUUAAUCGGAUUUACUGGGCGUAAAGCGUGCGUAGGCGGCUAAUUAAGUCAAAUGUGAAAUCCCCGAGCUUAACUUGGGAAUUGCAUUCGAUACUGGUUAGCUAGAGUGUGGGAGAGGAUGGUAGAAUUCCAGGUGUAGCGGUGAAAUGCGUAGAGAUCUGGAGGAAUACCGAUGGCGAAGGCAGCCAUCUGGCCUAACACUGACGCUGAGGUACGAAAGCAUGGGGAGCAAACAGG